GACGUAGGGGGCGAGCGUUGUCCGGAUUUAUUGGGCGUAAAGAGCUCGUAGGCGGCUCGUUGCGUCGGCUGUGAAAACCCGCAGCUCAACUGUGGGCUUGCAGCCGAUACGGGCGGGCUGGAGUUCGGUAGGGGAGACUGGAAUUCCUGGUGUAGCGGUGAAAUGCGCAGAUAUCAGGAGGAACACCGGUGGCGAAGGCGGGUCUCUGGGACGGUACUGACGCUGAGACGCGAAAGCGUGGGGAGCGAACAGG
rnacentral:rRNA from 1 species